rnacentral:rRNA from 1 species
GACGAACGCUGGCGGCGUGCUUAACACAUGCAAGUCGAACGGAAAGGCCCUGCUUUUGUGGGGUGCUCGAGUGGCGAACGGGUGAGUAACACGUGAGUAACCUGCCCUUGACUUUGGGAUAACUUCAGGAAACUGGGGCUAAUACCGGAUAGGAUCUCCUGCUGCAUGGUGGGGGUUGGAAAGUUUCGGCGGUUGGGGAUGGACUCGCGGCUUAUCAGCUUGUUGGUGGGGUAGUGGCUUACCAAGGCUUUGACGGGUAGCCGGCCUGAGAGGGUGACCGGCCACAUUGGGACUGAGAUACGGCCCAGACUCCUACGGGAGGAAGCAGUGGGGAAUAUUGCACAAUGGGCGGAAGCCUGAUGCAGCAACGCCGCGUGCGGGAUGACGGCCUUCGGGCGGUAAACCGCUUUCGCCUGUGACGAAGCGUGAGUGACGGUAAUGGGUAAAGAAGCACCGGCUAACUACGU